CGGCAGGCCGUAACACAUGCAAGUCGAGCGGUAGAGGACCUUCGGGUCCGUUGAGAGCGGCGCACGGGUGCGUAACGCGUAUGCAACCUACCCUUUACAGGGGAAGUAGCCCGUCGAAAGGCGGAGUUAAUGCCCCAUGGCUCCUUCGAGAGGCAUCUCUUGGAGGGUAAAGAUUUAUCGGUAAAGGAUGGGCAUGCGUGCCAUUAGCUUGAUGGUGGGGUAACGGCCCACCAUGGCGACGAUGGCUAGGGGUUCGUGAGAGGAAGGCCCCCCACCACUGGGACUGAGACACGGCCCAGACUCCUACGGGAGGCAGCAGUGAGGAAUAUUGGUCAAUGGGCGGAGGCCUGAACCAGCCCAUGCCGCGUGCGGGAAGAAGGCGCUACGCGUCGUAAACCGCUUUUGUCCGGGGGUAACCGUAGGGACGUGUCCCUACCUGCAAGUACCGGACGAAUAAGGGUCGGCUAACUCCGUGCCAGCCGCUGC
rnacentral:rRNA from 1 species